rnacentral:rRNA from 1 species
UCGAACGCGAAAGCCCCUUCGGGGGUAAGUAGAGUGGCGUCCGGGUGAGUAACACGUAGGUAAUCUGCCUUCGGGUGGGGAAUAACACCUCGAAAGAGGUGCUAAUACCGCAUAAUGCAGCGGCACCUAAUGGUGAUUAGUUGUUAAAGCGGGGGACCGCAAGGCCUCGCGCCUGAAGAGGAGCCUGCGGCAGAUUAGCUAGUUGGUGAGGUAAUGGCCCACCAAGGCUUCGAUCUGUAGCUGGUCUGAGAGGACGGCCAGCCACACUGGCACUGACACACGGGCCAGACUCCUACGGGAGGCAGCAGUGGGGAAUUUUGGGCAAUGGGCGAAAGCCUGACCCAGCAACGCCGCGUGAGGGAGGAAAUCCUUCGGGAUGUAAACCUCACAAGCAAGGGAAAAGCGCGAGGGGGCCAAUAACCCUCUCGUCCGACGGUACCUUGCGUAAGCCACGGCUAACUACGUGCCAGCAGCCGCGGUAAUACGUAGGUGGCAAGCGUUG